CAAUUCUCUCUUUUCAUGAAAAAAGCAAGAAUGCAUGCAAAUCUUAUCAUUUCUUCGCAUACUAGUUGUGUUCAGCUUAUGUCUUCAUGGCACUCAUGGAGACUACGACGUUGGUGGCUGGCAGAGUGCCCAUGCUACAUUCUAUGGAGGCAGUGAUGCUUCAGGCACAAUGGUUAAGCAAGACAGUCGUUAAUUACCAAUUUCAACUUCAUUUACUCAUCUUUUUUUAAGCUCUUAUAUGAAAUUGUAUUUGGUGGGUGCCUGCAGGGGGGGCUUGUGGAUAUGGAAACUUGUACAGCCAGGGGUAUGGAACACACACUGCAGCUCUAAGCACUGCCCUUUUUAACAAUGGCUUCAGCUGUGGUGCCUGCUUUCAGAUACGCUGCGACAAUGAUCCAAAGUGGUGCCUCUGUCGUACGAUCACUGUCACAGUCAUCAACUUCUGCCCACCAAAUUAUGCUCUGUCCAAUGACAAUG
rnacentral:misc_RNA from 1 species